AGCUGAUCCUCUUCGGAGGUGACGCUUGUGGAACGAGCGGCGGACGGGUGAGUAACACGUGGGCAACCUGCCUGUAAGACUGGGAUAACCCCGGGAAACCGGGGCUAAUACCGGAUAAUACUUUUCAUCACCUGAUGAGAAGUUGAAAGGUGGCUUUUAGCUACCACUUACAGAUGGGCCCGCGGCGCAUUAGCUAGUUGGUGAGGUAACGGCUCACCAAGGCAACGAUGCGUAGCCGACCUGAGAGGGUGAUCGGCCACACUGGGACUGAGACACGGCCCAGACUCCUACGGGAGGCAGCAGUAGGGAAUCUUCCGCAAUGGACGAAAGUCUGACGGAGCAACGCCGCGUGAGUGAUGAAGGUUUUCGGAUCGUAAAGCUCUGUUGUUAGGGAAGAACAAGUGCCGUUCGAAUAGGGCGGCACCUUGACGGUACCUAACCAGAAAGCCCCGGCUAACUACGUGCCAGCAGCCGCGGUAAUACGUAGGGGGCAAGCGUUGUCCGGAAUUAUUGGGCGUAAAGCGCGCGCAGGCGGUCCUUUAAGUCUGAUGUGAAAGCCCACGGCUCAACCGUGGAGGGUCAUUGGAAACUGGAGGACUUGAGUACAGAAGAGGAGAGUGGAAUUCCACGUGUAGCGGUGAAAUGCGUAGAGAUGUGGAGGAACACCAGUGGCGAAGGCGACUCUCUGGUCUGUAACUGACGCUGAGGCGCGAAAGCGUGGGGAGCGAACAGGAUUAGAUACCCUGGUAGUCCACGCCGUAAACGAUGAGUGCUAGGUGUUAGGGGGUUUCCGCCCCUUAGUGCUGAAGUAACGCAU
rnacentral:rRNA from 1 species